rnacentral:misc_RNA from 1 species
GAACGCACAUUGCGCCCGCUGGUAUUCCAGCGGGCAUGCCCGUUCGAGCGUCAUUUUAAUCUUUUCCCAGGAGACUCUUCUAUUCUGUAGUGAGAGUGUCAGCGGGGUGUUGGCAUUGGGCGCCUUAUUUUUAGGCGGCCGGAGCCGAAAUGAAGCGGCGGACUCGCGGCGGCCCCUAGCGCAGUAGAAACAACCCUUCUCGCUUAGGAGAGCUGCAGCGGCGGACCACAGCCCUAUAUGCUUUUUUUUUUUUUUAAAAAAAAAAAGCUAACAUAUAUAAAAACUUGACCUCGGAUCGGGUAGGACUACCCGCUGAACUUAAG